ensembl:lncRNA ZNF37BP zinc finger protein 37B, pseudogene
GUGGCUCCAGGUUUGUUUUUCUCCGGUACAGCCUGGUGAAGGAUGCCCGGAGGCCUCGGCAGGACCGUGCGGAAACGGGCCUUCUGCCCAAAAGAUGCUGCUUCUCUCCUUAUUCUUUCCCCUCAGAAUCUCGCUGUCUCCUUCCAACCACCUGUGGUCGGCAUCCCCGCGUUGUCACUGCGACGCAGAGGCGAGCGAGGUGGCGGGAAGCACCCGCGGGGCGGGGAGGGACCCUGCGGGCGCGGACUCCACACCAAGCCUCUGCUCAGCGUCACCCCGCUUGCUGUGUCCUCGCAGGUCGCAGCUUCAUGGCCUGAUGCCUUCAGGAAGUAUUUUGAAGUCAUCGUGGCUGUGGAUUGGGGGAUUUCUUGUUUCCACUGACCUGUGAGGCCGCGCACGUGGAGGGAGGCACCCCGGGUCCUCCGGCACUGUCCGGCCUCGCCUGUGUCCCUAGUAGCAGUGGGCAUUUCCAGACGGUGCAGCUUGUGGCUAAAGUGACAGGAAGAUGUAGGAGCUUUCAGUCUUGGAUGAGGAUUCGAACUGAAGGGCUUAGGCCCAGCUGUCUUGGAGCAAAACAUCUGUUGUGGGACUCCCACAGGCUGGGUGAUGGUGGGAGAUUUGUGCCCAUUCAGAUGUGGCGGCAGAGGAGGGCAAGGCCGAAGGAGCAGACAGCACCGCUUCUUGGGGAGUUGUGAAGGCAUCAUGCGGAGGGCCGAGCUUAGCAGCCAAGUGGAGGACAGCACCCUCCAUGCCUGGAUUCGUUACUCGCUCGUUCUCGAUGUUGAGCUGCUGGCAUAUUGCAGCACAACUAGAGAUGUACGGAUGCCCCCAUCUUGAUCUUACAGAAUCAGAGGUGCAGCCGCAAGAAAGGUCUCUACACCCUCUCGGUUUUCUCUGCUCUGCCAACACUAGUGGAAUAUGAUCACAUCCCAGGGAUCAGUGUCAUUUAGGGAUGUGACUAUGGGCUUCACUCAAGAGGAGUGGCAUCAUCUGGACCCUGCUCAGAGGACCCUGUAGAGGAAUGUGAUGCUGGAGAACUACAGCCACCUUGUCUCAGUAGGGUAUUGCAUUCCUAAACCAGAAGUGAUCCUCAAAUUGGAGACAGGCAAGGAGCCAUGGAUAUUAGAGGAAAAAUUUCGAAGCCAGAGUCAUCUGGGUGAGUUAGUGCCAGAUGGAAUUUAAAGAAUUAAUUAAUACCAGUAGAAACUAUUCAAGAAUGAAGUUCAAUGAGUUUAACAAAGGUGGAAAAUGUUUCUGUGAUGAAAGCAUGAAAUAAUUCAUUUUGAAGAGGAACCUUCUGAAUAUAAUAACAAUGGGAACAGCUUCUGGCUGAAUGAAGACCUCAUUUGGCAUCAGAAGAUUAAAAAUUGGGAGCAACCUUUUGAAUACAAUGAAUGUGGGAAAGCUUUCCCUGAGAAUUCACUCUUCCUUGUACAUAAGAGAGCUUACACAGGACAGAAAACAUGCAAAUAUACUGAACAUGGGAAAACCUGUUAUAUGUCAUUUUUUAUUACUCAUCAGCAAACACAUCCAAGAGAGAACCACUAUGAAUGUAAUGAAUGUGGAGAAAGUAUCUUUGAGGAAUCCAUUCUCUUUGAACAUCAGAAUGUUUACCCAUUCAGCCAGAAUUUAAAUCCCACUCUAAUUCAGAGAACCCACUCAAUUAGCAAUAUUAUUGAAUAUAAUGAAUGUGGAACCUUUUUCAGUGAAAAAUUAGCCCUUCAUUUACAACAGAGAACACAUCCAGGGGAAAAACCUUAUGAAUGUCAUGAAUGUGGAAAAACCUUCACCCAGAAGUCAGCCCACACAAGACAUCAGAGAACACACACAGGGAAAACCCUAUGAAUGUCACGGAUGUGGGAAGACCUUCUAUAAGAAUUCAGACCUCAUUAGAAAUCAAAGAAUUCACACAGGGGAGAGACCUUACAGAUGUCAUGAAUGGAGAAAUCCUUCAGUGAAAAGUCAUCCCUUACUCAAAAUCAGAGAACACACGUGGGGAGAAAUCAUGAAUGUCAUGAAUGUGGGAAAACCUCGUUUAAGUCAGUUCUAACUGUGCAUCAGAAAACACACAGGGGAGAAGCCCUAUGAAUGCUAUGCAUGUGGCAACACCUUUCUCAGAAAAUCCGACCUCAUUAAACAUCAGAGAAUUCACACAGGAGAAAAACCUUAUGAAUGUAAUGAAUGUGGGAAGUCAUUCUCCGAGAAGUCAACCCUUACUAAACAUCUAAGAACACACAGAUGGGAAAUCUUAUGCAUGUAUUCAAUGUGGAAAAUUUUUCUGCUGCUACUACAGUUUCACAGAACAUCUGAGAAGACACACAGGGGAGAAACCUUUUGGAUGUAAUGAAUGUGGGAAAACCUUCCAUCAGAAGUUGGCCCUAAUUGUUCACCAGAGAACUCAUAUAAGACAGAAACCCUAUGGAUGUAAUGAAUGUGGAAAAUCA